UACGGGGGGAGCAGGCGUUGUUCGGAUUUACUGGGCGUAAAGGGCGCGUAGGCGGCCUCUGCAAGUCGACUGUGAAAUCCCCGGGCUCAACCCGGGAACUGCGUCCGAUACUGGAAGGCUUGAAUCCGGGAGAGGGAUGUGGAAUUCCAGGUGUAGCGGUGAAAUGCGCAGAUAUCGGGAGGAACACCUAUGGCGAAGGCAGCUCGCUGGGACGUUACUGACGCUGAGACGCGAAAGCGUGGGGAGCAAACAGG
rnacentral:rRNA from 1 species